rnacentral:lncRNA from 1 species
GUGGCAUUACUAUUAACUAAUGAGUUUUGUACUCAAUAAUUCCUGACGGAAUACUCUUUUUCAUCUUGUUCAGUUUAUUUUCAGUAUAAACUCCACGUCUGCUUUUUUUCUGCUAAAAAAUCAACCUUUCCAUGAAAUAUCAUGUGAGAUCAUUUAAGAAAAUUUAACUUCUGUAUACUGUUGACACUGAGGUUGUGAGUUCAAAACCUGAACAUGGCCAACUCUUAUCAUAAUUGUCUAGGAGUCAGUUUUCUUAAUGAAGCUUAAGGUUGGUCAUCAUCUCAAAGCACCUCAGCUUCGAUUCCUCCUCCAAUAAAUAUUAGACUGCUAUGAAAAGAAAAUGCAUGUUGAAAGUGGUGUUAAACUCGAAAAAUAAGUCAAUGUCAGAAUCAUUCAUAACCUCACUCACAGUAUAGAGUGUAAAGGAAUUUUUUUUUUUCACCAAAAUUUGUCUCCAUGAACUUUCAAGCCAACC